AAUACAUGAUAAAUUCACAGCGAAGGAGGUUACUAACCUUUCGCUUUAUUUAUUUGGUAGAUCAUGAUAGAUUUAGACGAAUUUAAUUUAAUUUUAUGUAUUAUUUUUAUUUACUAUUCUAUUUAGAACGAAUGUAGAUGAGAACAGAUUGUAGUAAAUUUUUAUCCUUAUGCUCUCUUUUCUUACUAGCAAAUUAGAAC
rnacentral:lncRNA from 1 species